GCCCUGUUGGCGUAGUGGUAGCGCGUCGCACUUGUACACGUCUUUCGCAAGAUGCGCACAUGCGAAGGUCAUUCGUUCAAUCCGGGUACAGGGCA